rnacentral:rRNA from 1 species
GUCUCAACAACAGACUCGGUGAAAUUGUAAUUCCGGUGAAGAUGCCGGAUACCUGCGACAGGACGGAAAGACCCCAUGGAGCUUUACUGUAGCUUGACAUUGUGUCUUGGUACUACAUGUACAGGAUAGGUGGGAGGCUUUGAAACCAGGACGCCAGUUUUGGCGGAGCCAUCCUUGGGAUACCACCCUUGUAGUACUGGGACUCUAACCAUAGGCCAUGAAUCUGGUCU